rnacentral:lncRNA from 1 species
GGGAGAACUUCAACCCACUUCUGCAAAUUUGUGAAACUCAGCUGUAACGAAAAUGCAUUGUCAAGAGCUGAACUAACUCCUGCUGGUGCAUUAAUUAAUACCACCACCUGGAUCUAUCAACAGCAAGACAGCCAGAUUCACACUAGGGGAUAAAAAACAAUCUGCACCUUGUCAGCCCUGCCACACUGGGAGCAGUCACAGGUCUGCAGCCCCUGGAAAGAUAAGAAGAGUGGAAAAUUAGUUCCUAUUGCCAAAUUACACUUUAUCCUGGAGGAGCAGUUACUUCCAUUCUUAUGUCAUAUAUCCUGAAUUUCUUCAUUCACUGAGAAGAUCCUGGUUUAAACAGGAUGAAAGAGCAGGAAAG